GCCUUUGGUGACAAUUUGUUGUUCUUCACCACCAACUUUGGUGACUGAUGCUUUGGUGCUUUGUUUGUUUUGGUAUUCUAGGUGAUAUUGAAGAUAAUUUCGAUGAGGAAGCUACAAAUGUUGCAAGUUCUUCAGGAGUAUGAGAGAGAUUCAAGAUUCAAGAAGCUACAAAUGUUGCAAACUACUAUUUAUUUUAAUCUGAAUAAAAAUACUUUUGCUACUUCUUUACAAAUGUUGCAAGCUACAAUUUGUUUCAAUCUGAAUCAAAUAUAAAUUUAUUAUAAUUGUGAUUUUAAUAUUUAUGCAUAGAUAUUUAAAUUAUCUUUUUAUUAGUAUAUAAAAUGUAUAAUUUGAUUAUGUAUGCAAAAAGAUAUAAAUAUUUUACAUGAUCUCUUUACAACAAAUAAAAUAGUUUGGGUACCCAUGGGUAAACCUAUACCCUACUGGGUUAUUUUAUGGGUUUUAAUUUAAUCAUAAUGUUUUUGGAUUUUCGCGGGCUGGGCAUAAACUGGGUCGGGUUUUUUGUGGGUUGGGCUGGGCUGGGUUAUUUCACCUAUUUUAACAUCCCUACCUUGGACAAGCCGUUUGAGGAAGCUUACUUUACCCACAUGUUGUGGAUGUUCUUCAGAGAGACCAAGGAAACUGAACAUGACAUACAUAGGAUGUUCAAUCAGGUCAGAGAGAAGAUGAAGCAGAGGAUUACACUAAAGAAGAUGAGUGAUCCUGGGAAAUUUGCAGUGCCAUGUUUGUUGAAGGGCAUUGAAUUCAUGUGUGCGCUGUGUGACACAGGUUCAUCAAUCAGCAUACUAACCAAGAUAAUGGCAGACCAUCUGGGUCUGAAGAUAGAGCCUUCGGAGGAUUCAUUCACUUUUUUGGACUAUUCUACGAGGAACUCAGGAGGAAUCACCAGAAACCUUGAGGUGGAGAUUGGUAAUGCACUAGUUCCAGUUGACUUCCAUGUCCUAGACAACAAACUGAACAUGAAUCAUUCUCUACUCCCUUGGAGAGCCUUCAUGGCUACGGUAUGGGCAGUUUGCAACAUGCAGACUAAUCAGUUGUGUCUAACACUGAUAAACCAUGAUGUCUACUAUGAUCCAGUCAGAAUUGACAAGCCACAUACGUCCAACACUGGAGUUGAUACAAGAUUCAUAGCAGCAUGCUACUGUGAAUUUGAAGCUGAAUACUAGACAAAGUGUGAAGCAUCAAUCGACAGCCAUACUCAACCAUCGAUCGACAAUGCCAUUCAGCCAACGAUCGAUAACCACCUAGGAAAUCGAUCGACAGUAGUCAUGCGAAUGAAACUUUCGCUUUGCCAAAACACUGCUAUCCGAGUUUUGUAGUUAACACCCAGCCUCAGAUAUCGAUUGAUUACCAUUACGGUGACACGAUCAGCAGACAUGACGACUAUUAUAUUGGCAGUUGAGAAAAUGAUAGCCAUCAUGAGAGCUUUGCAGUUGACAUUGCACUACAUGAGAUGCGAUCUGAGGAGUAUGACGAGGAUUACCCCAGAGAGAAGAAUAUCGAGUAUCAUGGUGUUGCCAUGGAAGAAGAAGGAGUUCUCCAUACAUCACAUGCAGAUAAGAAGGCAAAAUUAAAUCGACAUCAACACCAAGCCAUCGAUUGACGCUCAUCACACACCAAAUUCCGAGGUACAAGUAAAAGAUAAUACAAAUUAUGCUUAUCUAACUCCAUAUGAAUAUGGUAUUUUCAGGGAUCCAGAAGGCCAAGCACGAGCCCUGGAUGGACACAUUCUCAACAUAUCCAGGGAGGAAAUUGCUGAAAUCAUUUCCAUGAAUGGGUCCAGAAACUUAAUAGACACUCAUAACAGAGCAGAGGAUCCAUCAUCGAUCGACGAAGCAGAUGCACCAUCAAUCGACGGUCAGUCCGAAUUGAGACGAAGAGCGCUUCUCUAGAACAGGAAAAUGAAACCUCAUUGGGAGAUGAAUCGUAAACGUAGACAGCAGUAAUAAUAUUAUGUCUUUCUUAUGGCUUUGGACAUUCAUGAUUAGUCAUUGCAGUUGUAAGAAUCUGAUUCUUUGAAGACUACUAGUUUCUGGUGUUGUUGAAGCAUUAGUAAAGAGCAUAUUGAUGUGCCUUUGGUGACAAUUUGUUGUUCUUCACCACCAACUUUGGUGACUGAUGCUUUGGUGCUUUGUUUGUUUUGGUAUUCUAGGUGAUAUUGAAGAUAAUUUCGAUGAGGAAGCUACAAAUGUUGCAAGUUCUUCAGGAGUAUGAGAGAGAUUCAAGAUUCAAGAAGCUACAAAUGUUGCAAACUACUAUUUAUUUUAAUCUGAAUAAAAAUACUUUUGCUACUUCUUUACAAAUGUUGCAAGCUACAAUUUGUUUCAAUCUGAA
rnacentral:lncRNA from 1 species